CCUACGGGAGGCUGCAGUGGGGAAUCUUUCGCAAUGGACGAAAGCCUGACGGAGCAACGCCGCGUGAAUGAUGAAGGUCUUCGGAUUGUAAAGUUCUUUUCUAAGGGAAGAAGAUAGUGAUGGUUCCUUAGGAAUGAGCUUCGGCUAACUACGCACCAGCCGCCGCGGUACUACGUAGGAGGCGAGUGUUAGCAGGAAUGACUGGGCGAGAAGUGCGCGGUGGUGGUUUGGCAAGUCAGGAGCGUAACGCCAAGGCUCACCCUUGGAACUAUUACUAAAACUGUAAGACUGGAGUGCAGAAGAGGAAACGGGAAUUCCAGGGGUAGAGGUGGAAUGCGUAGAAAUUGGGAGGAACACCAGUGGCGAAGGCGGGUUGCUGGACUGUAACUGACACUGAGGAGCGAAAGCGUGGGGAUCAAACAGGAUUAGAUACCCGAGUAGUC
rnacentral:rRNA from 1 species